AAGACUAUACUUUUAGGGAUCAUUUCUAUAGUUUGUAAACUGUCCCUCCUCCUUGUUUGGUUAUAAUCACUACUUUAGGCAUAAG
rnacentral:snoRNA from 1 species